rnacentral:rRNA from 1 species
UCCAGACUCCUACGGGAGGCAGCAGUCGGGAAUAUUGCACAAUGGAGGAAACUCUGAUGCAGUGACGCCGCGUGCAGGAAGAAGGUUUUCGGAUUGUAAACUGCUUUAGACAGGGAAGAAACAAGACAGUACCUGUAGAAUAAGCUCCGGCUAACUACGUGCCAGCAGCCGCGGUAAUACGUAGGGAGCAAGCGUUAUCCGGAUUUAUUGGGUUUAAAGGGUGCGCAGGCGGAAGAUCAAGUCAGCGGUAAAAUUGAGGGGCCCAACCUCUGCGAGCCGUUGAAACUGGUUUUCUUGAGUGAGCGAGAAGUAUGCGGAAUGCGUGGUGUAGCGGUGAAAUGCAUAGAUAUCACGCAGAACUCCGAUUGCGAAGGCAGCAUACCGGCGCUCAACUGACGCUCAUGCACGAAAGUGUGGGUAUCGAACAGGAUUAGAUACCCCUGUA